rnacentral:rRNA from 1 species
UACGUAGGGGGCAAGCGUUGUCCGGAAUCAUUGGGCGUAAAGAGCGCGUAGGCGGUCCGGUAAGUCCGCUCUGAAAGCCCGGGGCUCAACCCCGGGAGGCGGGCGGAUACUGUCGGGCUAGAGUCCGGAAGAGGCGAGUGGAAUUCCUGGUGUAGCGGUGAAAUGCGCAGAUAUCGGGAAGAACACCCGUGGCGAAGGCGGCACUCUGGGACGGUACUGACGCUGAGACGCGAAAGCGUGGGGAGCGAACAGG